rnacentral:rRNA from 1 species
GAUCAUGGCUCAGGAUGAACGCUAGCUACAGGCUUAACACAUGCAAGUCGAGGGGCAGCAUGGUCUUAGCUUGCUAAGGCCGAUGGCGACCGGCGCACGGGUGAGUAACGCGUAUCCAACCUGCCUUACACUCUUGGACAGCCUUCUGAAAGGGAGAUUAAUACAAGAUGUUAUCAUGAGUAAGCAUUUUCGCAUGAUUAAAGGUUUACCGGUGUAAGAUGGGGAUACGUCU